rnacentral:lncRNA from 1 species
GUCAUUUAUGGGGUUAGAGUUAUGCCUGAAAGAAUACAAAGUGAAAUGACAUGAAGUUAAGCUUAUGAACUCAUCUGGGAAAUUUGUUUUGCAGGAUGAAUUCAUUCACAGUGUUCUGAGACCUUUAUCUAAGCUACUCAAGUACUCUUAUGUGACAUUUGCUAGAUAAUCUAGACAGCACUUUGGUUAAAUCCACAGUGUGAUGUCAUCCAGUAAACACUUGAAAGUGGAGAUGCAUGUCUCUUCUGGUUUUAUCAGUCUAGAUUAGCAGUGCUUCACAGCACAGUGAACUUUUCUCCUCUGUGAUCCAUCAGCCUGCGUCUCAUUGCGGGCCAAUAAUCUGUCACCUGAAACUACUUAAAAUAGGUUGGGCUUUCUUGACUAUCGUGUUGCUGUGAUGACAUCGGGGUUUGGCUGCACAAGAAGGGAAAGCACUGUUUUAUAACUUGUGGUUGCCUCCGUAUCCCUCGUUUCCAGUAAAAGCACUGAUUUUUUAGCCUUUGCUUAUAUGCCUAGACUUUAUAUGUACCUGUUGUACAUUUCAUCUCGUUACAGACUGAGGCUCCUACUGUGCUUAUCUUUGUAUCUCUGUCAAAGAAAAAAAAAUUGUGGAGCUUAGAAGGUAUCAGAGU